rnacentral:tRNA from 1 species
GGGGUUGUGGCUCAGCGGUAGAGCGCUCGCCUAACAUGCGCGAGGCACUGGGUUCAAUUCUCAGCACCACA